rnacentral:rRNA from 1 species
CCUACGGGAGGCAGCAGUGGGGAAUAUUGGACAAUGGGGGAAACCCUGAUCCAGCGACGCCGCGUGAGUGAAGCAGUCUUUCGGUACGUACAGCUCUAUCAGCAGGAAAGAAAAUGACGGUACCUGGCUAAGAAGCCCCGGCUAACUACGUGCCAGCAGCCGCGGUAAUAUGUAGGGGGCAAGCGUUAUCCGGAUUUACUGGGUGGAAAGGGAGCGUAGACGGCAGCGCAAGUCUGGAGUGAAAUGCGGGGGCCCAACCCCGGAACUGCUGUUGAAACUGUGAAGUUGGAGUGCAGGAGAGGUAGGAGGAAUUCGUGGUGUAGCGGUGAAAUGCGUAGAUAUCAGGAGGAACACCGGCGGCGAAGGCGGCUUACUGGACUGUAACUGACGUUGAGGCGCGAAGGCGUGGGGAGCAAACAGGAUUAGAUACCCUGGUAGUC